rnacentral:rRNA from 1 species
CCUUGGCUCAGGUGAGAACACCCGCUGAGUUUAAGCAUAUAAUUAACCGAAGGAAAAUAAACUUACAAGGAUUCCCCUAGUAGCGACGAGCGAACCGGGAAGAGUCCAGCAUGAAAAUCGGGCGGCAGUGUCGCCUGAAUUAUAAUCUGUAGAAGCGUCCUCAGCGGCGGACCUGGGCCAAGUCCCUUGGAAGGGGGUGCCUGAGAGGGUGACAGCCCCGUCGUCCUGGGACCCUACCACAUCACGAGGUGUGGUCAGCGAGUCAGGUUGUUUGGGAAUGCAGCCCUAAUUGGGUGGUAAAUUCCGUCCAAGGCUAAAUACGGGCGAGAGACCGAUAGCGAACAAGUACCGUGAGGGAAAGAUGAAAAGGAAUUUGAAAAGAGAGUUAAAGAGUGCUUGAAAUUCCUGAGAGGGAAGCAGAUGGAGGCUGUCAGUGCGUCUCAGUCGGAUGUGGAAUGGCUCAGGCCAGUCCGCCGCUCGACUUGAGGUGCAAACCAACACGGGAUGCCGCAUCAUCACAAGCACGGGUGGAUUGCCACCUAUCAGUUUGAAGCUGCGGUGGUCGAGGAAUGAAGCAUGCACCCUUGUGGUGGGCUGUGUGUACCUACGCGCUCAUGGUGUUGGUCGGCGGGCUUUCCAUUUGACCCAUCUUGAAACACAGACCAAGGAGUCUAACAUGUGUGCGAGUCGACGGGUUUUAAAACCUGUGAGGCACAAUGAAGCUGAUGGGCGUCGACCGACCUUGAGCUUAUGCUAAGGGUUCGAGUGCGAGCACACCUAUUGGGACCCGAAAGAUGGUGAACUAUACCUGUGCAGGGUGAAGCCAGAGGAAACUCUAGUGGAGGCUCAUAGCGAUACUGACGUGAAAAUCGUUCAUCUGAGUUGGGUAUAGAGGUGAAAGACUAAUCGAACCAUCUAGUAGCUGGUUUCCUCUGAAGUUUCCAUCAAGAUAGCUGGAGCUCACGCGCGAGUUUUAUUAGGUAAAGCAAAUGGUUAGAGGCAUCGGGGGCGUAACGCCCUCGACCUAUUCUCAAACUUUAAAUAAGUAAGAGGGUGUGGCUAUUCCAUUGAGCCGCGCCGUGGAAUCGAGAGCUCCAAGUGGGCCAUUUUUGGUAAGUAGAACUGGCGAUGCGGGAUGAACUAAAAGUUGAGUUACGGUGCCGAAUUGCGUGCUAAACUAGAUCCCACAAAGGGUGUUGGUUGAUUAAGACAGUAAUACGGUGGUCAUGGAAGUCGAAAUCUGCUAAGGAGUGUGUAACAACUCACAUGCCGAAUCAAAUAGCCCCAAAAAUGGAUGGCACUAAAGCACGCAACCUAUACUCGACUAUCGGAGCAAUUGUCUGGCUCCGAUGAGUAGGAGGAUGCGGGGGCCGUUGAGAAACCUCUGGUGUGAGCUUGGGUGGAUCAGCCCCUGGUGCAGAUCUUGGUGGUAGUAGCAAAUAUUCAAAUGAGAACUUUGAAGACUGAAGUGGGGAAAGGUUCCAUGUGAAUAGCACUUGGACAUGGGUUAGUCAAUCCUAAGAGAUGGGGAAGCCUUGUAUCAAGGGUGCACUUUGUAUGAGCAUCGAAAGGGAAUCAGGUUAAUAUUCCCGAAUCGGGACAUGGCGGCGGGCGGCAACGUUAGGAAAUUUGGAGACGUCGUUGGGGCCUCAGGAAGAGUUAUCUUUUCUUUUUAACAACUUGACCACCUUGGAAUCGGUUCACCCAGAGAUAGGGUCCAACAGCUCGAAGAGCACCGCACGUCUUGCGGUGUCCGGUGCGCCCUCGACAGCCCUUGAAAUCUGGAGGACCGAGUAUUGUUCAUGCUCGAUCGUACUCAUAACCGCACCAGGUCUCCAAGGUGAAUAGCCUCUGGUCAAUAGAAAAAUGUAGGUAAGGGAAGUUGGAAAAAUGGAUCUGUAACUUUGGGGAAAGGAUUGGCUCUGAGGGCUGGGCCUAGGGGUCUGCGCCCUCAACUCGUGGGCUGUCAGUAGUCUUCCCGAGCUGCUCUCGCGGCGAGGGUGGGCAGUCAUGUGCAGAUUGGGCUACGGGCGUAGAAUGCCCCCUGCCGGGGGAUUUUCCCUAGGCAUCAAACAGUCGAAUCAGAACUGGUACGGACAAGGUGAAUCCGACUGUUUAAUUAAAACAAAGAAUUGCAAUGGUCCCUGCGGAUGCUAACGCAAUGUGAUUUCUGCCCAGUGCUCUGAAUGUCAAAGUGAAGAAAUUAUACCAAGCACGGGUAAACGGCGGGAGUAACUAUGACUCUCUUAAGGUAGCCAAAUGCCUCGUCAUCUAAUUAGUGACGUGCAUGAAUGGAUUAAUGAGAUUCCCACUGUCCCUAUCUACUAUCUAGCGAAACCACAGCCAAGGGAACGAGCUUGGCAGAAUCAGUGGGGAAAGAAGACCACUACUUUUAACGUUAUUUUACUUAUUCCGUGGGGUGGAAAUGGGGCACUGCCCCUAUUUUUGGCCUUAAGGCACAUUUCGGUGGGUCGAUCUGGGCGGAAGACAUUGUCACAUGGGGAGUUUGGCUGGUGUGGCACAUCUGUUAAAAGAUAACGCAGGUUUCCUAAGAUGAGCUCAACGAGAACAUAAAUCUCAUGUGGAACAAAAGGGUAAAAUCUCAUUUGAUUUUGAUUUUCAGUAUGAAUACAAACCGUGAAAGCAUGGCCUAUCAAUCCUUUAGAUUUUUGGAAUUUGAAGCGAGAGGUGUUAGGAAAGUUACCACAGGGAUAACUAGCUUGUGGCAGCCAAGCAUUCAUAGCGACGUUGCUUUUUGAUCCUUCGAUGUUGGCUCUUCCUAUCAUUGCGAAGAAGAAUUCACCAAGUGUUGGAUUGUUCACCCACCAAUAGGGAACGUGAGCUGGGUUUAGACUGUCAUGAGACAAGUUAGUUUUACCCUAUUGAUGAACCACACCGCAAUAGUAAUUCAACUUAGUACGAGAGGAACCAUUGGUUCACACAAUUGGUCAUCGCGCUUGGUUGAAAAGCUAGUGGCGCGAAGCUACAAUGUGUCAGAUUAUGACUGAACGCCUCUAAGUCAGAAUCCACGCUAGAAGCGGUGCAUGUCACUCUUUGACUGUAUCUCGACCCGCAGUAGGGGCGUCACUUUGUCACCCCCAGGGGCUGUGUCAUUUGCAAACCGCGACCGUGAAGCAUCUCGGUUGGGGCAGCUUUGAAGUUCAAUUCCAAACGGUCGUUGAGAAGAAUCCUUUUUAGAUGACUUAAAUACGCGACAGGGUAUUGUAACUAGCAGAGUGGCCUUGCUGCCACGAUCCACUGAGAUUCAGC